UCCCCAGUGGCUCAGUAGUAAAGAAUCUGCCUGCAAUGCAGAAGGCCUGGGUUUAAUUCCUGGGUCAGGAA
rnacentral:tRNA from 1 species